rnacentral:lncRNA from 1 species
UUUUUGCGUGUGUGUGAGAGUAUAUUUCUUGAUUUGAUCUAAUUGGAGGAGCAAUGUGCAUGAACUUGCUAGCUGGUAGUGUUUUUCUUCUUCAGGUUUCAGCUUUAUGAGCUUGAUCGCCAGAAUCAGUGGAGGAUUAUAUUGGCGAGGCGUCUCUUCUUGCAAGGAAAUGAACCCCCCCAUGAACUUCUGAUUCGAUUCCCACUUGGCUACCAAUCUAUGUAGCAGAGAAGCUUAAGGGCCAUACUGUGAUCAAGAACUACCUUCUCAUGGGGAAGAGAGAACAUCGUUGCAGUUUGCCAGAGAUCAAUGAUUUUACUCCUCCGUUGUGGGCUUGUGGUUUAAGAGAAUAUUGUUGCCUUGUUUUUCCUGAACUACGUACGUACAUUGCCUUCUCUUUCUUGUGUCUGUGUGCUAAUUUGUUGGCUUCCAUGAGUUUGUAUGAAUGAACAUCAAAUAAACUAGCUAGCCGCUCGGUUGUUA